rnacentral:rRNA from 1 species
AGUGAACGCUGGCGGUAGGCCUAACACAUGCAAGUCGAACGGCAGCACAGUAAUAGCUUGCUCUUACGGGUGGCGAGUGGCGGACGGGUGAGGAAUACAUCGGAAUCUACUUUUUCGUGGGGGAUAACGUAGGUAAACUUACGCUAAUACCGCAUACCACCUACGGGUGAAAGCAGUGGAUCUUCGGACCUUGCGCGAUUGAAUGCGCCGAUGUCGGAUUGGCUAGUUGGCGGGGUGAACGCCCACCAAGUCGACGAUCCGUAGCUGGUCUGAGAGGAGGAUCAGCCACCUGGGAACUGAACCACGGUCAAGACUCCUACGGGAGGACGCAGUGUGGAAUAUUGGACAAUGGGCGCAAGCCUGAUCCAACCAUACCGAGUGGGUGACGAAGGCCUUCGGGUUGUAAAGACCUUUUGUGGGGAAAGAAAAGCAGCAGGUUAAUACCCCGCUGUUCUGACGGUACCCAAAGAAUAAGCACCGGCUAACUUCGUG